CGCGGGUGCCACUGCAGGGUGCAUCCUGCCAGCCUCCUGCCCCACAACGCAGCCUGUGCUUCUCCCAGACCUGCUCUCUGCUUUAGGAGGCCAGUGGCUCCCCACCCCUGCCCCAGCUGCAGCCCCAGGUGAGCUCCAUUCCCCACAGUGCCCCACUGCGGGCCAAAGCACAUCAUCUCCCAGAAAGUCACUUAGAGUCAGCCUGUGUCCCCAGAGCAUCUGUUGGGCCCCCAAAGGGGACAUGCUGCUGCUGGAGCUGCAGCAGUGGGAAGGAGGAAGAUUGUGGCUCCAGGCUCUGUCUCCAGCUCAUGCUCCCCCCGUGUGCUUUGACCCUGGCAAAGACAGAUCCUGCCCACACCUCCUAAUGCCGAGCCAGCAGAAGGGACAGCCUAGCUUAGGGGAUAAAGGGCAAAUUCCGGGAGACUGAAAACCAACAUUGUCCUGCGCUUCCCUGCCCCAGUGCCGUGCCUGUCUGCUGACUGUGCGGGGACACCUCCAGCUCGGAAACACAGGAGCCGGGACAGGCCAUGCGGCACAACUGGGAUGUCGUGGGUGGGACCCCAUUCCGUGCCCUGCUCUCUGCCCCGCGCUCCGUGUCCCGCUCCAUGCCCAUAUCAGUGUCCCACUCUCCGUGCCCCGCUCCGUGCCCAUCUCAGUGUCCCACUCUCCGUGCCCAUCUCAGUGUCCCUCUCUCCGUGCCCCGCUCCGUGCCCAUCUCAGUGUCCCACUCUCCGUGCCCAUCUCAGUGUCCCACUCUCCGUGCCCCGCUCCGUGCCCAUCUCAGUGUCCCACUCUCCGUGCCCCGCUCCGUGCCCAUCUCAGUGUCCCACUCUCCGUGCCCCGCUCCGUGCCCAUCUCAGUGUCGGGGGGGGGGGGGGGGGGGGGGGGGGGGGGGGGGGGGGGGGGGGGGGGGGGGGGGGGGGGGGGGGGGGGGGGGGGGGGGGGGGGGGGCCCGCUCCGUGCCCAUCUCAGUGUCCCACUCUCCACGCCCCUCUCCGUGCCCAUCUCAGUGUCCCACUCUCUGAUUCCUACCAGUAAAGGCAGCAAGCUAUAAAAUCUGACUACAG
rnacentral:lncRNA from 12 species